CAACGGAUACCUAUUCAAUCGGGUCCCACCACCACCUGGACAAUCCCGGAAAUGGGAGGAUUGGGAACUCCCUUGCUACAUCACCAGCUUUUUCACUAUCAUUAUCCUCGGUGUGGGCCUCAACGCUAAGCCCGAUCUCACACUUGAAACAUGGGCCCAUCAAGAAGCCCUAAAACGCCUCGAACUUGAAUCUUCUUCUGCUCAAAUCCAAUCCAUUGACGAAUGAAUCUGUGCAUCAUUUUUGGGUAUGGUUUUGAAUUUCGCUCCUUUUUUGGAUUGUCAAAUUAGGGGUUUUCGAUAAAUUGGGGAUAGUUUAUCCUUGUUGAUAGUUUGUGGUGUUAUACUCGGUGUGGGCCUCAACGCUAAGCCCGAUCUCACACUUGAAACUUGGGCCCAUCAAGAAGCCCUAAAACGCCUCGAACUUGAAUCUUCUUCUGCUCAAAUCCAAUCCAUUGACGAAUGAAUCUGUGCAUCAUUUUUGGGUAUGGUUUUGAAUUUCGCUCCUUUUUUGGAUUGUCAAAUUAGGGGUUUUCGAUAAAUUGGGGAUAGUUUAUCCUUGUUGAUAGUUUGUGGUUUUUAGAGGAUCAUUUUUGGGUAUGGUUUUUGAAUUUCGCUCCUUUUUUGGAUUGUCAAAUUAGGGGUUUUCGAUAAAUUGGGGAUAGUUUAUCCUUGUUAAUAGUUUGUGGUUUUUAGAGAGUUGGAAAAUAAAUGUUAUUUUCAACUUUGACCUGAAAUUCGAGCUUACUGUUUUAUGUUCAGUUUUAAUGACAAUGGUUGAUUAUGCUAUUCUUUUUCAUUUUCACCUGUGGAUGUGUAAUAUUUUGCUUUAUAUUUGGUGUUUAAUAGAGUAAGUUAUAAUUGGAUCGU
rnacentral:lncRNA from 1 species